rnacentral:rRNA from 1 species
CCUACGUGGGGCAGCAGUGAGGAAUAUUGGUCAAUGGCCGCAGGGCUGAACCAGCCAAGUCGCGUGAGGGAUGACGGUCCUAUGGGUUGUAAACCUCUUUUGUCAGGGAGCAAAGGGCGCCACGUGUGGCGUUUUGCGAGUACCUGAAGAAAAAGCAUCGGCUAACUCCGUGCCAGCAGCCGCGGUAAUACGGGGGAUGCGGGCGUUAUCCGGAUUUAUUGGGUUUAAAGGGUGCGAAGGCGGAAUGUAAAGUCAGCGGUAAAAUUUCGGGGCUCACCCCCGAAGUGCCGUUGAGACUGGCGUUCUUGAGUGAGCGAGAAGUAUGCGGAAUGCGUGGUGUAGCGGUGAAAUGCAUAGAUAUCACGAAGAACUCCGAUUGCGAAGGCAGCAUACCGGCGUUCAACUGACGCUCAUGCACGAAAGCGUGGGUAUCGAACAGGAUUAGAUACCCUAGUAGUC